rnacentral:rRNA from 1 species
GACGAACGCUGGCGGCGUGCCUAAUACAUGCAAGUCGAGCGAAGCGGCGGAUGGGUGAGUAACGCGUGGGUAACCUGCCCUUAAUUCUGGUAUACCAUUUUGCAACCUAUGCUCAUACCGGAUACUGACGGCUGGCCCUGCGAUGCAUUAGAUAGUUGGUAAGGUAACGGCUUACCACGGCGAUGAUGCAUAGCCGAGUUGAGAGACGGAUCGGCCACAUUGGGCCUGAGCCACGGCCCAAACUCCUACGGGAGGCAGCAGUAGGGAAUCUUCCACAAUGGACGAAAGGCUGAUGGAGCAACGCCGCGUGAGUGAAGAAGGUUUUCGGAUCGUAAAGCUCUGUUGUUGGUGAAGCGGUAAUCAACCAGAAAGUCACGGCUAACUACGUGCCAGCCGCCGCGGUAAUUC